GUUUUAGUAGUUUAAUAAAAACUUUGGUCUUGUAAACCAAAAUUAAGGAAUUGGCCCUUCUUAAACU
rnacentral:tRNA from 1 species